GGAUUAGAUACCCUGGUAGUCCACGCCGUAAACGAUGUCGACUUGGAGGUUGUGCCCUUGAGGCGUGGCUUCCGGAGCUAACGCGUUAAGUCGACCGCCUGGGGAGUACGGCCGCAAGGUUAAAACUCAAAUGAAUUGACGGGGGCCCGCACAAGCGGUGGAGCAUGUGGUUUAAUUCGAUGCAACGCGAAGAACCUUACCUGGUCUUGACAUCCACAGAACUUUCCAGAGAUGGAUUGGUGCCUUCGGGAACUGUGAGACAGGUGCUGCAUGGCUGUCGUCAGCUCGUGUUGUGAAAUGUUGGGUUAAGUCCCGCAACGAGCGCAACCCUUAUCCUUUGUUGCCAGCGGUCCGGCCGGGAACUCAAAGGAGACUGCCAGUGAUAAACUGGAGGAAGGUGGGGAUGACGUCAAGUCAUCAUGGCCCUUACGACCAGGGCUACACACGUGCUACAAUGGCGCAUACAAAGAGAAGCAAUCUCGCGAGAGCUAGCGGACCUCAUAAAGUGCGUCGUAGUCCGGAUUGGAGUCUGCAACUCGACUCCAUGAAGUCGGAAUCGCUAGUAAUCGUGAAUCAGAAUGUCACGGUGAAUACGUUCCCGGGCCUUGUACACACCGCCCGUCACACCAUGGGAGUGGGUUGCAAAAGAAGUAGGUAGCUUAACCUUCGGGAGGGCGCUUACCACUUUGUGAUUCAUGACUGGGGUGAAGUCGUAACAAGGUAGC
rnacentral:rRNA from 1 species